AAUUCCUUCUUUACUUCCUCUUUUUGGAUCUUAAAAAGUUUAAGUCCAAUAUGGACAUCAGUGGGUAAGAUAAGAAAGUGUCUAAGGAAGGACGGACUUAGAGUCUUAGUAGAAGAAAAAGUUGUUGCAAGAAGAGGAUUCAUUCCCAAGAAUCCUAAACUAAGAAAAAGACACCUAUCCUCCACUCUCCUCUUAAAGGAAAUAAUUUUGAGUUCAACUUCAAUAAGAAAAGCUGA
rnacentral:lncRNA from 1 species